CAAACAGUUCUGGCCUUUGUUUGGCAUGUCCAAUGCCUUUGAUUUGGACAUAGGUGAUCCAAAUUUGAGUCUGAACAAUUCUCUUUUCCUGCACAAGGUUAUGGACAUUGAUCAUUGUCACAUCGUGCAUCAGUGGAAGUCUCGUUCACCGAAAUUUUCCUUUAUAUCAAAUUUAUACCUUGAGAAGUCGCACCAGGAUCAAAUUAUUAUGGCAAUCUCAGUUAUAGUGAUUUAUCCUUUUCUGAGCCAAGUAUGGAGCGAUGGUACCAAUGCUGCUUUAGUUGAUCGAAACCUGAUGUAGUCCCAUCAAGAAUAUGUUGAGCCCACCAUGAAAUAAAUGUCUGAAACAGAACACCACAAAACCUUGGUGUUAAGCUUUUAUUUGGGAAAGGAGGAGAUGUGUCUUGAUUUGAUGGUUAGCGGAGACAGCUACAGAUACCACACCUCACAUGGAGGAGGAAGGUCACCGACAUGUGAACAGAGAUCAUGUUCAACAUAGAGUCAACGGAUUCACGCACAUGAUAAAGCCAAAGAGUCGAUGCAAAGAUUAGUCCGUCAUUAUUAUUGGACAGAACAAGAUUAAUCCGCACAAGCACAUAAAAAACAUUCGUGUGUAUAGUAAUUCUAUUUUAUAUUGAAUAAAAAUAGAAAAUUAUUACGGUGAGAGCAGGCGAACAUUACGAAGCUUUUGCUAGCGUGCAGGAGGACGACGGCGGAAGCGCGUCAAGGGAGAUGAACGAGAAGUGCAGCAAGAAGCUCCCAUUUGAGUACCUUCCCCUCACGGCAGCAGUAAGACGACGACGGAGUCCAACCGAGGGGCGAGGCGGUAAGCAAGUGGAGAUUCCAUCGAUGGCGAUCUCAUCCAUAGCAUUUUGUAUUUGGUGAGCGCAUGUGGACGGUUCGGUUCACGUGACACGGUUUCCCGUGAAGUGACCCUUCAAUUUUGGCUGCCGCGGAUCCCGUGCCCCACCCGCCUGUCGAAAUAAACCACGUCUAUCUACGUAGCACGUGAUUACC
rnacentral:lncRNA from 1 species